rnacentral:lncRNA from 1 species
GUAGCAAACAUCAAAUAGCAAAAUGCUUCUUCUUGAUAUAUAGUACUGUAAAUCACGGUUGCGUUCACGCUGCAAACCUUUAUAUUGAGGUUAAGUGUUUAAAUGUGUUAUGCUGCGGCCGCAAUUUGCGGUUGCAGACUGUAAUUGUAGUCACAUUGUCGGACCUCGUUAAACCUAGGUUGUUUUUUAUGUGUUUUACUCGAUCUUUCUUUAGAUUCCGAUUUCUAUAUUUACAACAAAUAAAUUUAUCAUCAUUGUUGUGUCUCUAAACAGGCAUGAACAGAUUGUGAUGGUGAGUCGUGGAAGUCGCAUAACUCCCUUCAUAUCUAUAAUCCGUGAUCUCAUAUUUCAAAGCUAACAACAAGAAUUUCAACCUCCAAAACUCCUACUUGUUUGUAUUUUCAAAAACUAUGUUGACGUUCAUAGUUAAACCGCUGGUUCUGUUUAUGCUGCAAACGUUUAUACUGUGGUAAAAUAAGGAUAAAUUAUGGUUGCGGACUGCAAUUUAAAACUAUUGGAGCAGGCGGAGUAGUGAAAAGUAAAACCUAGCCGCUCUGCUCCUAGGAAUGUAAUCACACUGUCCGACCUUUAUAAAUCUAGCCUGUUUUUGUUUUACAUUUUACUCGGUCUUUCUUCAGAUUUCGGUUUCUAUUUUCACAACAAAACAAUUUUCAAUUGAAAGCUAAUUUAUCAUCAUUCUAUCUCUAAAACAGGCAUGAGCAGAUUGUGAUGGUGAGUGGCGGAAGUGGCGUAACUCCCUUCAUAUCUAUAAUCCGAGAUCUCAUAUUUCAAAGCCAACAACAAGAAUUCCAACCUCCAAAACUCCUACUUGUUUGUAUUUUCAAAAACUACGCUGAUCUAAC